GGGGAAUAUUGCACAAUGGAGGAAACUCUGAUGCAGCAACGCCGCGUGAGUGAUGAAGGUUUUCGGAUCGUAAAGCUCUGUUGCCAGGGAAGAACGUCCUGUAGAGUAACUGCUACAGGAGUGACGGUACCUGAGAAGAAAGCCCCGGCUAACUACGUGCCAGCAGCCGCGGUAAUACGUAGGGGGCAAGCGUUGUCCGGAAUUAUUGGGCGUAAAGCGCGCGCAGGCGGCUGUUUAAGUCUGGUGUUUAAUCCUGGGGCUCAACCCCGGGUCGCACUGGAAACUGGACGGCUUGAGUGCAGAAGAGGAGAGUGGAAUUCCACGUGUAGCGGUGAAAUGCGUAGAGAUGUGGAGGAACACCAGUGGCGAAGGCGACUCUCUGGGCUGUAACUGACGCUGAGGCGCGAAAGCGUGGGGAGCAAAC
rnacentral:rRNA from 1 species